UGCGGACAUAUCAUAACGAAGAGGUAUCGUAAUUGAAGAGGUUUGGAAAGACCCACCACAGAAGGUAAUAGUCCUGUAUGUUAAACGAGAAGACUUCAGAUAUGAUCCAGAGUACCACGGGACACGUGAAACCCUGUGGGAAGCAGGAGGGACCACCCUCCAAGGCUAAAUACUACCUAGUGACCGAUAGCGUAUAGUACCGUGAGGGAAAGGUGAAAAGAACCCCGGGAGGGGAGUGAAAUAGAACCUGAAACCCUGCACUUACAAGCUGUGGAAGCACAUUUCUUGUGUGACCGCGUACUUUUUGUAGAACGGGCCAACGAGUUACGUUAAGUAGCAAGGUUAAGCACUUAAGGUGCGGAGCCGUAGCGAAAGCGAGUUUUAACUGAGCGUUCAGUUACUUGACGUAGACCCGAAACCGGGCGACCUACCCAUGAGCAGGAUGAAGCGAAAGUAAAAUUUCGUGGAGGUCCGAACCCACGAGCGUUGAAAAGCUCGGGGAUGACUUGUGGGUAGCGGUGAAAUUCCAAUCGAGCCCGGAGAUAGCUGGUUCUCCCCGAAAUAGCUUUAGGGCUAGCCUCAAGGUGAGAGAUACGGAGGUAGAGCACUGAAUGUCCUAGGGGGUAUUGCACCUACCGAAGACUAUCAAACUCCGAAUGCCGUCAUCUUAUACUUGGGAGUCAGACUGUGGGUGAUAAGAUUCAUAGUCGAAAGGGCAACAGCCCAGAUCGUCAGCUAAGGUCCCUAAAUGUAAGUUAAGUGGUAAAGGAUGUGGGAUUGCACAGACAACCAGGAUGUUGGCUUAGAAGCAGCCACUCAUUCAAAGAGUGCGUAAUAGCUCACUGGUCGAGUGAUCCUGCGCCGAAGAUUUCCGGGGCUAAAACUUACUACCGAAGCUACGGCAUCAGUAAUGAUGGGUAGGGGAGCUUCCCAUACGGGUUGAAGCAUGACCGUAAGGACAUGUGGACAGUAUGGGAGUGAGAAUGUUGGCAUGAGUAGCGAGAUGUGGGUGAGAAUCCCACAGGCCGUAAACCCAAGGUUUCCAGGGGAAGGUUCGUCCGCCCUGGGUUAGUCGGGACCUAAGCUGAGGCCGAAAGGCGUAGGUGAUGGACAACAGGUUGAUAUUCCUGUACUACCGAUAACCGUUUGAGAGAAGGGAUGACACAGUAGGAUAAGCUAAGCACACUGUUGGUUAUGUGUGCCCAAGCAUUGAGGCAGUCAAAGUAGGCAAAUCCGCUUUGAUAAUGCUGGGAUGUGAUGGGGAGCGAAAUUUAGUAGCGAAGUAGCUGAUUUCACACUGUCAAGAAAAGUCUCUAUCGAGGUUAAAGGUACCCGUACCGCAAACCGACACAGGUGGGUGAGGAGAGUAUCCUAAGGCCAGCGAGAGAACUGUUGUUAAGGAACUCGGCAAAAUGACCCCGUAACUUAGGGAUAAGGGGUGCCACCAUCAGGUGGCCGCAGAGAAUAGGCCCAAGCGACUGUUUACCAAAAACAUAGGUUUCUGCUAAGUCGCAAGACGAUGUAUAGGAGCUGACGCCUGCCCGGUGCUGGAAGGUUAAGGGGAUCUGUUAGAGCAAUCGAAGCAGUGAACUUAAGCCCCAGUAAACGGCGGCCGUAACUAUAACGGUCCUAAGGUAGCGAAAUUCCUUGUCGGGUAAGUUCCGACCCGCACGAAAGGCGUAACGAUUUGGGCACUGUCUCAACAACAGACUCGGUGAAAUUGUAAUUCCGGUGAAGAUGCCGGAUACCUGCGACAGGACGGAAAGACCCCAUGGAGCUUUACUGUAGCUUGACAUUGGGUCUUGGUACUACAUGUACAGGAUAGGUGGGAGGCUUUGAAACCAGGACGCCAGUUUUGGCGGAGCCAUCCUUGGGAUACCACCCUUGUAGUACUGGGACUCUAACCAUAGGCCAUGAAUCUGGUCUUGGGACACUGUCAGGUGGGCAGUUUGACUGGGGCGGUCGCCUCCCAAAAGGUAACGGAGGCGCUCAAAGG
rnacentral:rRNA from 1 species